UUGCUUCAGCAGCACAUAUACUAAAGUUGGAAUGAUACAGAGAAAAUUGGCGUGGGCCCUGUGCACCUUGACAGUUUGAAGGCACGAUGGUUGGAUGUUUUGU
ensembl:snRNA U6 U6 spliceosomal RNA